GCACUCAUAGCUCAGCUGGAUAGAGCGCUGCCCUCCGAAGGCAGAGGUCGUAGGUUCAAAUCCUACUGGGUGCGCCA
rnacentral:tRNA from 1 species